rnacentral:rRNA from 1 species
UACAGAGGUCUCAAGCGUUGUUCGGAAUUACUGGGCGUAAAGCGCGCGCAGGCGGCUAUCCAAGUCAGUGGUGAAAGCCCGGAGCUCAACUCCGGAACUGCCAUUGAAACUGUUUAGCUUGAGGACGAGAGAGGUGAGUGGAAUUCCCAGUGUAGAGGUGAAAUUCGUAGAUAUUGGGAAGAACACCGGUGGCGAAGGCGGCUCACUGGCUCGUAUCUGACGCUCAGGCGCGACAGCGUGGGGAUCAAACAGG